CCCUUAGGUGUUCUGGGCCGCACGCGUGCUACACUGAGUGGAUCAGCGGGUCAGGUUGCGCGAAAGCGUUUCCUAAUCUUUAAAUCCGCUCGUGAUGGGGAUUGACGGUUGCAAUUUUCUGUCAUGAACGAGGAAUACCUUGUAAGCGCGGGUCAUCAUCCCGCGCUGAAUACGUCCCUGCCCUUUGUACACACCGCCCGUCGCUCCUACCGAUUGAGUGGUCCGGUGAGGCUUUGGGAUCUGAGCGGAAAGAGCGUUUCGCUGUUUCUGCCCGGAAAACUCAGUCGAACCUUAUCAUUUAGAGGAAGGAGAAGUCGUAACA
rnacentral:rRNA from 1 species